GGGGAAUAUUGGACAAUGGGCGCAAGCCUGAUCCAGCCAUGCCGCGUGGGUGAAGAAGGCCUUCGGGUUGUAAAGCCCUUUUGUUGGGAAAGAAAAGCAGCCGGCCAAUACCCGGUUGUUCUGACGGUACCCAAAGAAUAAGCACCGGCUAACUUCGUGCCAGCAGCCGCGGUAAUACGAAGGGGGCUAGCGUUGUUCGGAAUCACUGGGCGUAAAGCGCACGUAGGCGGACUUUUAAGUCUGUCGUGAAAGCCCUGGGCUCAACCUGGGAAUGGCGAUGGAAACUGGGCGACUAGAGUGUGGCAGAGGGUAGUGGAAUUCCUGGUGUAGCAGUGAAAUGCGUAGAGAUCAGGAGGAACAUCCGUGGCGAAGGCGACUGCCUGGGCCAACACUGACACUGAGGCACGAAAGCGUGGGGAGCAAACA
rnacentral:rRNA from 1 species